UACGUAGGUGGCAAGCGUUGUCCGGAUUUACUGGGCGUAAAGGAUGCGUAGGUGGAUAUUUAAGUGGGAUGUGAAAUACCCGGGCUUAACCUGGGUGCUGCAUUCCAAACUGGAUGUCUAGAGUGCAGGAGAGGUAAGUGGAAUUCCUAGUGUAGCGGUGAAAUGCGUAGAGAUUAGGAAGAACACCAGUGGCGAAGGCGACUUACUGGACUGUAACUGACACUGAGGCAUGAAAGCGUGGGGAGCAAACAGGG
rnacentral:rRNA from 1 species